rnacentral:lncRNA from 1 species
AUGGCAUUGUUUCUCACUUUCAGAUAAUUACUUUUAAAUAUAGUUUUUGUUCUCAUAUACCCAAUAUAAUUUUUAGUUAUUUUUAAAUUUAGAGCAAUUGUUUUUCCUGCUCUGCUGCCCUGUGUUAAGUAAAGUGAGUUUAAUUCUAUCCUUGCCUUCAAUUUUAACCCAUGUUUUGUAGUUUGAUGAAAUAUUUCAUUUAUGUCUUAUCUUUGCAUUUCUUAUGUUGCUUAUUUUUUCAAAAUCAUAGAUUAAAAGUAUAGUGAUUUGAUAGUUUUGAUUUUAACCUUAUGUUUAACCCUCAAAAUUUAAGAUGUCAUACAUGCAACAACUUUUCUAUGCUACACUUUUAAGUGCUAGCUAUUUUUUCCAAGAUUAGAGCUUGAAUUUCCAAGAGAAUUAGACUAAUCUCAUAUUAAUGUUUUACAAUGUUAAGUGCUAAUUUUUGACACCUUCAUUGUCUAAGAUUGCAGGUUUGAGUUCAAAGGAUGGUAACUAAGAAUAUGAUGGAGCAAAAUU